rnacentral:lncRNA from 1 species
GCCGUUCGUCCCUAGCCGAGCUGGCAGCACAGAAUCGACAGAAUGCGUACCGGCAAGGCGAAGAAGCCGUGUCCGAGGUGUCCAUGCUCCUGCAGUCCUGUGGUGACCCUGUGGAGCUGGAUCCGGUCUCGUGGAAACACAGCCGGCUCAUCAGUCACAAAACGAGUGGGCUGCUGCUGAGGUACCCCAGCUGGAGUCGAGAGGUGAGAAGAUGUGGCACGACGGGACAGGAACAUAAGCCUGGAGGGAAAGCCGCGAGCAAAGCCACGGUUGGUGCUCUGGUGGACGGCCUGCAGAUGAACACCAGCUGCAGACGUUGAGCCGUAGGCUCAGGAACACCAGACACAGGCAGGAGCCCGGACCCACGGGCUGACGGGCUGCUUCUUCCGUCGUGGCUGUCUUCUUCGCUCACUUUCCUCUCUCACAAUGGCGCCUCUCCAGCAUUCCACGUGACGAGGUUCUCUGUAGAUUCUUCUUUUUCUUUCGCCUUUUCUGGGUGCCAAUGCACGGUCAUGCUCGUGCCUUCAUCGUCGUAUUUGCCUUUGUUGUAAUGCAGCACGUGCAGCUCAUGAUAGCCAUACAUUUCAGAGGUCCACAUACAGGCUUCUGGGCAGUGGCACUACAUGGCACCAAGUGUGCUUACAGAAGGGCAAAAGAGGAGCACCGCUGCAAUACAUGCCUGAUACAUAACUUGUUGCGAUGGUGGCAAUACGUUGUGUCGCUAUACUGAUUCAAUGCUAACACAUUACCAUCGACAGUCAUCGUGAGAUUGGUUCUGUAGCGAUUUUUACACUCUCCGCUUUCAUCCAUGCCACCUCACACUUCUACAACUGAGCCUAGCUUUUUUGGAGAAACUCUUUAUUCCAUGCCUUCACUAGCACACAUGUGCAGAUGUACAUGGACAGAUAACAACUGUAGCAGACAAUCUGCAAUCUUAGGCAAAAGUCUACCACUUGUUCAAGAAACAUUUACAUGUCUCGAAUUUGUGUGAUUAUAUUUACGUGAUCCUGAUCCUGAUAAAGAAAUUUACAGAAGAAUAAAAUUGGGUUGGAGGGCAUACGGCAGGCAUUGGCAAAUCCUGACUGGGAGCUUACCACUGUCAUUGAAAAGAAAAGAGUAC